UAAAGUGGCUAUAUACCCUAAAGGCAACCGAUCCUGUAUUAUCUUGGAAGCUAAGCAGCUUUAGACCUGGUUAGUACUUGAAUGGGUAACCAGGUGCUAAAACCACUUCUGGGUCUUCCUUGC
rnacentral:rRNA from 11 species